AUAGGAACGAGAGCUGCCUUUUUAAAAGGGAAGCGUUCGAUCCAUUAGACUGGACAUCAAUCUUUCCCUCCUUGGCGCGAGUCUGUCUGCCAAGACCUUGCCGCCCCAUUUUACUGGCGAUGAAGGAGGCAGCCAAAUUAAAUACAUUUCUGAGCCUUUUCAACCUGGGCUGUUGAGAAUCUCUGGUGUGUCUCUUGCUUACAGCACAACUCCUCCUCCUCCUCUCCAGCUUUUUAUUUCUUAAAUCCAGGAAGGCAGGUCAGACUUAAUCUCCCAGCCUGGUUUCCAUUCCGUAAAAUGAUUUGUGUGCUGCUGCAGAAUGGUGCAAGGUAGACUAUUCCCAUGCACGGUGCCUGCCAGCCCCGGGCCCAUUGCACCCUUCUACUUUCUCCUUAAAGUUUCUCAGUCUCCCCUCUUCCUCGGCUCCCCCCCCCCCCCCCGUGCCAAGGGUGGGCUGCUGCACACCGCCAUUUUAAUCUUUCCCUUCCUUCUUGGCUUGUCCUUCUUUUCCCCCAAGGACUUUUAUUUUCAUUCUGUCUGUACAAUCUCCUGCAAACUCCAGGGUUUCCCCGAAAACCUUCCCACCUCUCUCUCUCUCUUUCUUUUUCUCUCUUUCUCUCUCUCCCCCUCUCUCUCUCCUACAUGCUCUCUCCCAUUCUCUCUCAUUCUCUCAUUUCCUCUCUCCCCAUCCCAUUCUCCCAUUCUCUCUCUUUCUCAUUCUCUCUCAUUCUUUCUCUUUCUCAUUCUCUCUCUCUCCUUCUCUCCUUCUUUCUCUUUCUCUUAUUCUUUCUCUCUCUCCCAUUCUCUCAUUCUCUCUCUCUCUCAUUCUUUCUUUCUCCCAUUCUCUCUCUCUCUCUCAUUCUCUCUCUCCCUCUCUCAUUCUCUUUUUCUCAUUCUCUCUCCCAUUCUCCCAUUCUCUCUCUCUCUCUACCUCUCUCAUUCUCUCUCUCUCAUUCUCUCUUUCUCUUAUUCUUUCUCUCUCUCCCAUUCUCUCAUUCUCUCUCUCUCUCAUUCUUUCUUUCUGCCAUUCUCUCUCUCUCACACAUUCUCUCUCUCUCCCUCUCUCAUUCUCUUUCUCUCAUUCUCUCUCCCAUUCUCUCUCUUUCUCAUUCUCUCUCUCUCAUUCUCUCAUUCUUUCUCUCUCUCUCCCAUUCCCUCAUUCUCUCUCUCAUUCUCAGGGCACACUUCUCCCAAACUCCCGAGGAUCCCCCACCCCCCCACCCCCAGCGAGGGAGUUUCCCAAGCGCAAAGCAGAAGCAGCUUGCAAAGGCCGCGACUCCAAGGCUCGUGGGCAGGAAUUGCUUAACCAAGCA
rnacentral:lncRNA from 1 species